UACGUAGGGUGCGAGCGUUGUCCGGAUUUAUUGGGCGUAAAGAGCUCGUAGGUGGUUUGGUAAGUCGGAUGUGAAAUCUCCAGGCUCAACCUGGAGGGGUCAUUCGAUACUGCCAUGACUAGAGGUCGGUAGGGGAGUGUGGAAUUCCUGGUGGAGCGGUGAAAUGCGCAGAUAUCAGGAGGAACACCCGUAGCGAAGGCGGCACUCUGGGCCGAUUCUGACACUGAGGAGCGAAAGCGUGGGGAGCGAACAGG
rnacentral:rRNA from 1 species